rnacentral:sRNA from 1 species
GCUGGGCGUGGUGGCCCACGCCUGUAAUCUCAGUGACUUGGGUGGCUAAGGCAGGAGGAUCACAAGUGUGGAGCCAGUCUCUAGCAUUUU